GGGGGCCAGUGAAAGGCAAGACUAGGAACACCUGUGCUUUUUAUAUUAAAAAAACUUUUCAUCUAAGUGAAAAGACUUAGAUACCAGAGGAAGACGAAAAGACCCCGCGGAACUUUACCAUCUAAAACACUGCCGCCCAGAAGCACAAAAGUGUAAUAGGUUUGAUUGGGGCAAUCUCGGAACCACCUAAGCUUCCGACCAUCACUUAAACGCAUCCAAAAUUUGAUGUAGACAAUAAAGUAGUUACCCCGGGGAUAACAGCGUCAUCCAACUUAAGAGUACACAUCGAAAGUUGGGUUUGCGACCUCGAUGUUGGCUUAA
rnacentral:rRNA from 1 species